CGGAGCGAUCGAAAUGGCUGAUCUCUGUUCGUCAAGAAAAAACAAGAUUGGAAAUUGGAAGAGUUUUCAUCGAACUUUGAAACGAACCUUUCGAGAGAUAUGGUAUCUCCAACAUUAUCACAUUGCUGAAGGUUGUAAAGGCCAAAAAUGACAAAGAUAUUUAUUUAAUAUUUGAUUUUAUGGGUAUGUGAAUUACAUUUUCGCAAAGAAGACAUUCUUCAUGAAGCAGAAUUCUUCGAUGAAAAGUCGAUGAGACUUCUAAAGAGUGAAAUAUUUGGUAUGUCCCACAAUGACUCAAAUGCUGCAUCCAGUGCUUUCACAUUUAUGAUCC